rnacentral:rRNA from 1 species
AUUGAACGCUGGCGGCAGGCCUAACACAUGCAAUUCGAGCGAGCGGCGGACGGGUGAGUAAUGCCUGGGAAUUGCCCAGUCGAGGGGGAUAACAGUUGGAAACGACUGCUAAUACCGCAUACGAUUGGAUUGCCCAGGUGGGAUUAGCUAGUUGGUGUGGUAAUGGCUCACAAAGGCGACGAUCCCUAGCUGGUCUGAGAGUAUGAGUCGCCACCCUGGAACGUAGAAACGGUCCAGACUCCAACGGGAGGCAGCGGUGGGGAAUAUUGCAUAAUGGGGGAAGCCCUGAUGCGGCCAUGCCGAGUGUGUGAAGAAGGCCUUGGGGUUGUAAAGCACUUUCAGCGAGGAGGCGGUACUCGCAGAAGAAGCACCGGCUAACUCCGUGCCAGCAGCCGCGGUAAUUC